rnacentral:rRNA from 1 species
CAGUCGCCGCGGGAAUACGUAGGGUGCGAGCGUUAAUCGGAAUUACUGGGCGUAAAGCGUGCGCAGGCGGUUGUGUAAGACAGGUGUGAAAUCCCCGGGCUUAACCUGGGAACUGCGCUUGUGACUGCACAGCUAGAGUAUAGCAGAGGGGGGUGGAAUUCCACGUGUAGCAGUGAAAUGCGUAGAGAUGUGGAGGAACACCGAUGGCGAAGGCAGCCCCCUGGGCCAAUACUGACGCUCAUGCACGAAAGCGUAGGGAGCAAACAGGAUUAGAUACCCCCGUAGUCCCUGUCUCUUAUAC